rnacentral:rRNA from 1 species
UACGAAGGGGGCUAGCGUUGCUCGGAUUGACUGGGCGUAAAGGGCGCGUAGGCGGUUCGUACAGUCAGACGUGAAAUUCCUGGGCUCAACCUGGGGGCUGCGUUUGAUACGUGCGGACUUGAGUGCGGAAGAGGGUCGUGGAAUUCCAAGUGUAGAGGUGAAAUUCGUAGAUAUUGGGAAGAACACCGGUGGCGAAGGCGGCGACCUGGUCCGAUACUGACGCUGAGGCGCGAAAGCGUGGGGAGCAAACAGG